rnacentral:rRNA from 1 species
CCUACGGGGGGCAGCAGUGAGGAAUAUUGGUCAAUGGGCGUAAGCCUGAACCAGCCAAGUCGCGUGAGGGAUGAAGGUUCUAUGGAUCGUAAACCUCUUUUAUAAGGGAAUAAAGUGUGGGACGUGUCCUAUUUUGUAUGUACCUUAUGAAUAAGGAUCGGCUAACUCCGUGCCAGCAGCCGCGGUAAUACGGAGGAUCCGAGCGUUAUCCGGAUUUAUUGGGUUUAAAGGGUGCGUAGGCGGCCUUUUAAGUCAGCGGUGAAAGUCUGUGGCUCAACCAUCGAAUUGCCGUUGAAACUGGGGGCCUUGAGUUUGUGUGAGGCAGGCGGAAUGCGUGGUGUAGCGGUGAAAUGCUUAGAUAUCACGCAGAACCCCGAUUGCGAAGGCAGCCUGCCAAGCCAUGACUGACGCUGAUGCACGAAAGCGUGGGGAUCAAACAGGAUUAGAUACCCUUGUAGUC